rnacentral:lncRNA from 1 species
AGAAAAAGGGAGAGACGGGCUUUCCCCUCUUUUGAGAAAGAAGAGUGUCUUUUCUCUAUUCUUUCUCUCUCCUGUCUCCUUUCUCUCUCCCUUUUUCUUUCUCUCUCUUAUUUUUCAGUUUCUCUCUCUACCUAGAUUGUCUCUCUCUUCGAAACUUUCUCUCUCUUUGGGACUUUCUCUCUUUAUGGAACUAUCUCGCUCACUCGACUCGUGGACUAGAUACAUUGAUGAUAUAGGAUGGCCUGUGCCAUCGACGAACCAAACUGAGAUCCUUGAUUGAACCCGGC